GGCAGCACUGGUCACGACCGGCUCGCAAACCCUGUUUUAAACUUCGGAAGUUAUUUUCGUGUUUCUUCGUCUUUUAUAAUCCUUUCCGGCCCCCGGUCGGGGUUGUUUUUCCUCCAAAAUACUCCUUUGGAUCCACUUUAUCCUUUGGGAAAUCGAAGGGAUCUUGACGAACAGGAGCCAUGUCCAGAUGAAUUUCUUGCAGUAAACACUUAAAGGAAAAUGUGUACCUCUCAGCAAAGAGCGGUACGUGAUGAGGAUGUGAGUGGCGAGGAGGUGACGAUGCAGUUGAUGGUCCUCAACUCCCUUCUCAUGUUUGAUCUCGUGUUCAUGUUUUUCCUUUUCCUGGUUGGCGUCUCCUGCGUGCUUUAUUACGUUCCUCCCAGGUCCAGCUCGCCAACAAGCAUUCCCAUCCCGCCUCCGCCGCCUCCGGCUCCGACUCACCAGACGACGAGGCACACCCUACACUACGUCCUUUGCUGCACCAGAUCCUCACCGGCCCCGCCUCAACUUGUCUAGCCGUAAUGUGUUGAUUAACAAAACGGCUAAACGUAGAAACAAAGAGAAUAAACCCCCCCGAGGAAGAAAGCAAAGGUCGGUGGUGAGCCUGGGAGAUGUUGUUGCGAAAAGGAAGCAGCACAUCAGCGAGUUGGAAGCGUGGGCCUUGCUCUGUCAAGCAGUCCAAGCUCUACAGGAUCUUUUCCUUAACGGUACGUUCUGAUAUUCAGCCAGAACCAUAGACCGUAUGUAUUAGUGAAUAUCUUCUAAAGUGUAUAUAUAUACACAAAAAGUAUAUUGAUUAUGCACUUAAUAGGCAAGUAGUAAUAAAGUAAUAAAAAUAAAAUU